GGGAAAUUUUCUCUCAGAGUUAAUAUUUCACCUUUAACCAGAGUGAUAUUUCUACACCUAAGACCAUUAAAGAUCCCUGACACUGUAUUUGAGAAAAGGGAUGUCUGUGUCAGAAUGUUCACUGUGAUCCUGGCAUUCUGUCUGAAUGCAUCCUGACAAAAUUGUGGGUCAUUUCCUGGAGCUGGUCUAUGUAGCCACGAAAGAUGCUUUUAAAUGUUUACCAUCCUUUGCAUCUGUGAUUAUGCAACAUGCUUGUCUGAGGAAGAAUUUUAAAUGAGCCUUUAGUUGUUUAGGAUGCACAGUGUGACCUAAAAAACUCUUCCACACUUGUCUCCUCCCCACAUCACAAAUUUCUGUGUCUCUACAUGGUGGCCUGGAUGGAGGAGGUGUGCACGUUGAUCCAGGAAGGAGAAGAUGAAGUUGAGUAGCUUGUGCAGAAAAAUGACCAAGAGUGGGGUGCAGAGCUGGGGUAGUGGUGAAACAACGCCUUCCUUUCUUAUCCAGAAAUAAUAAAUGGUCCCGCUGCAUGGUUUGAAACAGAAUGCCUACUAGAAGAAAUCUCUCUUUUAUUCUUUUAAGUGGCAUCUGAUCCAGGUAAAUUCAUCGAUAGAGGGGACCACCCAAACUCUCCUACCUAGUGCUUCUAACUCAAUCUGUGUCCCUGCCUCUCUGGGGUCCUGACCGUGCCUGCAAGGUGGUUAAGGGAGAUGAAUAUGAGUAAAUAAAAUGAGUGUUUGUCUGAAACUGUGUUGGGGGAUUAAGCAUUGUGUUCUCCUUUUGAGGAGCAGCAUGCCAACUGGCAGGCCUUGGCUGACUACCUGGGCCGAGCAGAGAAAAGGAGAUGCUCACCCUUGUCGAAGAGAGGCCGGCUGCUUUGAAGGACACAGGGAGGCGAGCCUCUUCUCGCCCAGAAAAACCAGGUGCAGCUUCCUCAGCAGGGAAAGGUUAUGCUUCAUCUGACUUCGUUUUCUCUCUGCAAAUUAAAGGACAAUUUAUGAGUGUCUAGACAGGAAUUAAUCGGAAUAAUAUUGGCUGCUUUUGACCCGAGAGUGCUAUUACAAUAAAGUAUAUACAACACAAAUAUAGGACAAA
rnacentral:lncRNA from 1 species